UCCGGUGGCGAUAGCGGAGGUGAUACACCCGUUCCCAUCCCGAACACGGUCGUUAAGCCCUCCAGCGCCAAUGGUACUAUAGGGAUUCCCUAUGGGAGAGUAGGACGUCGCCGGGA
rnacentral:rRNA from 1 species